rnacentral:rRNA from 1 species
AUUGAACGCUAGCGGGAUGCCUUACACAUGCAAGUCGAACGGAGUGGCGAACGGGCGAGUAAUGUAUCGGAACGUGCCCAGUCGCGGGGGAUAACUACGCGAAAGCGUAGCUAAUACCGCAUACUCUUUGACCGGCCGAGACGGGAUUAGCUAGUUGGUGGGGUAACGGCUCACCUAGGCGACGAUCCGUAGCGGGUUUGACGGGACGACCAGCCACACUGGGACUGAGACACGGCCCAGACUCCUACGGGAGGCAGCAGUGGGGAAUUUUGGACAAUGGGGGAAACCCGGAUCCAGCCAUCCCGCGUGUGCGAUGAAGGCCUUCGGGUUGUAAAGCACUUUUGGCAGGAAAGCGGUACCUGCAGAAUAAGCACCGGCUAACUACGUGCCAGCAGCCGCGGUAAUAC